rnacentral:ncRNA from 2 species
CUCUUAUCAAGAGAGGUGGAGGGAAGUGCCCGUUGAAGCCCGGCAACCAUCAGUAAGCUUGCUUAUCUGAAAUGGUGCCAAUUCACUCAAAGCUGAUUGCUUUGGCAGAUGAGAG